GACGAACGCUGGCGGCGUGCUUAACACAUGCAAGUCGAACGGUGAAGCCCUUCGGGGUGGAUCAGUGGCGAACGGGUGAGUAACACGUGAGCAACCUGCCCCUGGCUCUGGGACAACCACUGGAAACGGUGGCUAAUACCGGAUACGACCCGCCUCGGCAUCGAGUGUGGGUGGAAAGUUUUUCGGCUGGGGAUGGGCUCGCGGCCUAUCAGCUUGUUGGUGAGGUGAAGGCUCACCAAGGCGACGACGGGUAGCCGGCCUGAGAGGGCGACCGGCCACACUGGGACUGAGACACGGCCCAGACUCCUACGGGAGGCAGCAGUGGGGAAUAUUGCCCAAUGGGCGAAAGCCUGAUGCAGCGACGCCGCGUGAGGGAUGACGGCCUUCGGGUUGUAAACCUCUUUCAGCUCCGAAGAAGCGAAAGUGACGGUAGGAGCAGAAGAAGCACCGGCUAACUACGUG
rnacentral:rRNA from 1 species